rnacentral:rRNA from 1 species
AUUGAACGCUGGCGGCAUGCUUUACACAUGCAAGUCGAACGGUAACAGGGUGCUUGCACCGCUGACGAGUGGCGAACGGGUGAGUAAUGCGUCGGAACGUGCCGAGUAGUGGGGGAUAACGCAGCGAAAGUUGUGCUAAUACCGCAUACGUACUGAGGUAGAAAGUGGGGGACCUUCGGGCCUCACGCUAUUCGAGCGGCCGACGUCUGAUUAGCUAGUAGGUGAGGUAAAGGCUCACCUAGGCGACGAUCAGUAGCGGGUCUGAGAGGAUGAUCCGCCAAACUGGGACUGAGACACGGCCCAGACUCCUACGGGAGGCAGCAGUGGGGAAUUUUGGACAAUGGGCGAAAGCCUGAUCCAGCCAUGCCGCGUGUCUGAAGAAGGCCUUCGGGUUGUAAAGGACUUUUGUCGGGGAGGAAAUCCCCAGCGCUAAUACCGCUGGGGGAUGACAGUACCUGAAGAAUAAGCACCGGCUAACUACGUGCCAGCCGCCGCUGUAA